UUAUAGUUAAGGGUUAUAUGAGCAUUGCUUCCUUAUAGUUAAGGAAUGGAUUGAACUUGGAAUCCUUAUAGUUAAGGAUUGGAUAAUACUCGCCUUUAAGUCCUUGCUCGGAGGGCGGCAGCUCCCCCUCGAGCGAUGAGCUCCGCAGUGAUCAUCACUGGGUUGGUGCUGUUCCCCAGAGGUUGAGCCUGUCGGGUCGUAGGAGUCUCCCCGUUUGAUGAGCUCCGGAGUUGUCAUCACUGGGUCAUAGUAGUCUCCCCAAAGGACUGUCCCAUCGGGUCGUAGUAGUCUCCCCGAUAUUUGGGAUUAUGAGUUGGUGAGUUGGAAUCCAGCGAGAGGAAGCUGAGGACCCGACGGGUUAGCCAUGAGAUUGGGUAAUGAAAAUGAAAUCUUACAUUCCUCAUGAAUUGACUUAAGACCGAGUCGAGUGGCAUAGUUGGCUAAGGUAAAUGUAACCUUAGAAAGAAUGACAUUUGAGCCAAGUGUGGCUAAGAAUAAAGAGUAAAGAAUGGCAAGUGAUAAAGAAUUGUUAAUGUAACGUAUCGAAACCUCGAUAGCGAUUAUCGAACUUUAGCCAAAUUGAUUAAAGUGCCGAGAGAAAUGGAUGGACAAAGUCCGGUUGACAUUCCAACAAUGUUGGAAGGGUCAAAGUCGAGUCCCGAGAGUGUUAAGCAAGUUUUAGCAUUGCUCGGCGCGAUUUAAAAGUGAACAAUGUGAAAGAAAUAGAUGGGUAUGUUCCAUUAAGCGUUCCAACAAUGUUGGAAGGGUUAAAAAUGAGUUUAAGAGAGAUUAGAAAGGUUUUAGCAUCGACCGGCGCGAAGUAGAAUCGAAUCAGAGCUAAAACUGCAAUCUAGUGCAUGUGUACCGGUACAACCUGUCACGCCCCGAAACCGCCAAUUUGGUCAGUUUGGGCACGUACACAGACGCCGAACGGACAGCACCUCCCCUGUCCGCCCAAGUCUCAACCAUAAUUAUCAAACAUUUAUAGCGAAAGAAACAAUCCCAGGAUGACAUUUCAAUAUACAUGGCUUGCACGAGGACAAGCGACACAAGUGAAAGUAAACUAGCUAAAGCAUUCACACAUUGUAUCUUGAUUACUUUAAAUCAAAUACAAAGCUUACAUAAUUAUUACAUUCAUUCUUCCAAUUUAUACAUUGCCAUUUCUCAAAUGAAUAAUUUACAUUUACUUUUAUCAACUGUAAACAGAUGAAAUAUUCAAGGUACCACUAUACUCAAUGGAUGUCGCUAUCUAUAGCGCGCUGUCCCUGCCACGAUCCUCGACCACCCCGCAUGAACUAGAACCUGUAUGGUUAGUGGGGUGAGAACUACUGAAAGUUCUCAGUGGGUUCGGCUGCCGACCUCGCCGACUCACCCACUAGAUUUAUUCAGGCAUAUGUAGACAAGAAAAGAGAAUAGAUAGUAACCAGCUAUAACAUGUAACUACUACAAUGCCUGCACAAAACUAAAAGAAACAGUAGAUAACAUAUGAAAUUGAUGCAUGCAUGCUGCUAAUAAUCUUUACCCAAUCAAACUGGUUAACCAUUUGGUUAACAAUAACUCACCAACCAAAUCCCUCUAAAUCGGGGGACUCGAACCACCCGAGAGACUGUCUGCUGGACAAGUACGUUAGUCCUUAGGGAAGUAUGUUAGCCCAUCAUGUGACAACUCCGGAGUACACUGCUUGGGUGGAGCGACCAUCGCCAAGCUCAAAACAGACUAUGUGAGUAUAAUCCAAUCCUCACUGACAGGAUAUACUGACAAUGCCACACUUUAACUAGCUCUUUAUGCUAGAUUUACAUGUCCAAGUCUAGAUGCUAAUCAAUUCAUCUAGUUCUAAUGCCACACAUUUUACAAGCUCAUUGACUUUGUUUAACAUUCACAACACUGGGUGCCACUCAUGCAAUCUAUUCACAAUGUCACUUUGUCACUAUUUAAUAGUCCAAUACAAGUUCAUACAUCUAUAGGGUUCUAUGUUUACUAGUCACUGUUCACAAGUAAUUGUGCUGUCAAGUAUACAAUUAAACCACAUGUCAUAAUUAACCACAUAUCUAGCUCAACCCUAUAAUACAUGAAUAUCAACUAAAUAUAUACAAUCUAUGUAUGCUCAAGAAAAGUGACAUAAACAUAAUAGGUCAUUCGAUGACUUCGGAAAGCACCACCCACCUUUAAAUGAUGCCGGAAUGCGAGAAAUCCACUUUUCGCGAUUUAUGAACUAUCACGACCCUCGCUCGCGACAAACGAAGCUAAAAUGAGGUUUUCCACUCUAGUUUGCCGUAGGCUCGUCGGAACACUGAUCCGAGCUUUCCAACGCGUCAGAUUUACCCACUAUUAGUGUCACGCCCCGGGACCGGCAGAGGCCCUCCCGGUAGCGCGCCCAGACCCGCCAUAUGUCUACACAUAUAAGGCGUCUACAACAACAGCGGAAAUGAAACAAGAAAGCAGAAGAAUCUAGCGAUAUCGGAGCAUAGAAAAUAUCUAAGUUCUACACAGAAGAGUAGACAUAAAACUGAAAUCUACAAAUAAAGCCAAAGUGUAGUGCAAAGGAAACCCCAAAUACAAAGCUAAACAUCAAGAGUAUACAAGUGGUCUCUCUACACAUGGCUCACAAAAUCUCUCUCUCUCUCUCUCUCUCUCUCUCUCUCUCUCUAAUACAAAAGAAAGAGUAAACCACUU
rnacentral:lncRNA from 1 species